rnacentral:rRNA from 1 species
CAGUAGCCGCGGUAAUACGUAGGUGGCAAGCGUUGUUCGGAAUUAUUGGGCGUAAAGGGUGCGUAGGCGGCCCCGCAAGUCUCAUGUGAAAUCUUCAGGCUCAACUUGAAGUCUGCAUGGGAAACUGCGGGGCUGGAGUAUGGGAGAGGUGAGUGGAAUUCCUGGUGUAGCGGUGAAAUGCGUAGAUAUCAGGAGGAACACCUGUGGCGAAAGCGGCUCACUGGACCAUAACUGACGCUGAGGCACGAAAGCUAGGGGAGCAAACAGGAUUAGAUACCCCAGUAUCCCUGUCUCUUAUACA